rnacentral:rRNA from 1 species
GAUGAACGCUGGCGGCGUGCCUAACACAUGCAAGUCGAACGGAGUCCAGCCGUAGAGACCUGCGGGUCAAAGGGGGGAAGACUGAGUGGCGGACGGGUGAGUAACACGUGGGCAACCUGGCUCAUAGAGGGGGAGAACAGAGAGAAAUGUCUGCUAAUACCGCACAAGCAGACACUGCCGCAGGGCAGAGGGUGAAAAGAGAAUCGCUAUGAGAUGGACCCGCGUCUGAUUAGCCAGGUGGCAGGGUAAGAGCCGAGCAAAGCGACGAUGAGUAGCCGAGUUGGGAGGCUGCCCCGCCACGUUGGGGCUGCGACCCGGCCCACACUCCUACGGGGGGCAGCAGUAGGGGAUACUGCACGAUGGGGCGAGCCCUGAUGCCGCGACGCCGCGUGAGUGAAGAAGUAUUUCGGUAUGUACAGCUCUCUCAGCCGGGACGAUAGUGACGGUACCUGAAUAAGAAGCCCCGGCUAACUACGUG